AUUAAACAAAAAAACACAAAAAUGAGUAUAUUACAAAAGAAAUACUUUUAAAAUUCAGAGUUUGAAAAGAAACAAAGCCAAAUUGUUUGAAAAUCAAAGUUUUCAUUUCACACUCUGUGAGGCCGAACGGAAAAUGAUACUGUGUGUGUCGCUCUCCCAGAGCUGGAGCUCAGCAUUGCACAAGGUAAGUCAGACGGUGGCCUGAACUGCUGUUCUCACUGAUGUGGCAAAAGUUCUAAAACAGGGGUUUGAGGAAGGCAGGGCUGACUUGGCAUCCUAGUUUGAGAUCUAGUCCAUCACAGCGAGGCAGGCACAGCAGCAGAACCACAGGGCUGCUGGGAGGACUGCGUCCUCAGGCAGCAGGCAGAGGUGAAUGGUGUUGCUUAGCUUCCUUACUUUUCAUUCAGACCAGGACCCCAGCCCAUGGAAUAGUGCCACCCACAUUUAGGGUGUUCUUCCCAUCUCAAUUAACCUAAUCUGGAAAAGCCCUCCACAAGAAUGCCCCAAGGUUUAUUUCCAUAGUGACUCUUCAAUCCCAUCAAGUUGACAACCAAGACUAACCAUUACAGCUUCCUAGAACAGAGUCAAGCACCACUCACAGUACCCUGGGAGAAACUUGAGCAUGACUCUCCCACCUGCUACCUCCAGGAAGCCAUGUGUAAAAGAAAGGAGUUACGAUGAGCUCUGGGAUUUUGUACUCCAAGGCUGUGAUUCCUAGAUUUUUUUUUACAAACUAUAUAUUUUCUCAUAAGAGCCAUACCUUGUUCAAUCCAGUAUAGUCUGACUUUCAGCCUUGUCCCCAAACAUUUUAAUACCCUAUUUGUCAAAUUAAAUGACUUUUCCUUAUUCUGUAUUAUCUGCUCUUCAACUUGACACCACUUCCUCACUCAGGUCCUCUCUUUCUAGAUGUUUUCACUCCUGAUUCUUUGUCUGUUGCUCUGACUGCUCUUCUCCAGUUUUCCCCUUGUUCUUCCCACUCAGCCAAUCCCCUAAAGGCAAGUACUCUCCCAAACCCACCCCACAGCUUUCUCUCUUUCUUCUUUAUUUGAAUUCUUUCCUUUGAAAGUUUAAGCCACUCCCACUGUUGGUUUUGUGUGAAGCAUUAGAACCUACUAGAUAUCUCCACUUCCUGUACUUCUCUGGCACUGCUAACAGGACCUCAAACUCAGCACUCACAACUCCCAGGAGUAAACCGGCAGUGUGAGUUCUAGUGCCACCACUUAGGAAGAGCGUGCACGGGAGCAAAUCAUGACUGUGAGUUCAGGGUUCUCACCCAGAGGAAUCAGGAACACAAACAGGAGUUCUGGCUGAUUUACAGGAUGGCAGGAAAGGUGGAAAUCUGUACGUUCUGUACAGGCUACUGAGCUACUAGAAAAGUUAGUAAUGAUCAGCAGGCUCGGAAUGUUGCUGUUGCCACUAAUUGCUCUAAUUUACAAAAUCCUCAUUAUCAAGACUUAAGUGUAUCUUCUUAGUUCCUCCUCUUUAAUAUUCCCAAUAUUUACUUUUUUUUUUCUGGUUUUAUUCCAACUGAGCUAAUCUAGACCUGUUUAUCAGUUCAUGGGUUGAUUAGUUAAAAAACAAAAAACAAAAAACAGCUUUACUUUCUAAUCAGAAUUUCUGUAUUUAAUUUCUUUUUCUUAGAUAUACUUUCCAUCCUGCUGCUUGGUAACUCUUCCUGUAGGAUAACCAUUUCCUAUCAGCAGCAGAAUAAAGUCUAAGAUCUUGGAAAAACCAAAUUCCACAUAAUCCUAAAGUACAUUACUCACAUUAUUAACUCCAUACCCUUCAACUAAGAAUCUUAACUUCAGCCACAACAUACCAAAAUAUCUGGCAAUCCUCUAAAUAUCAUAUACCUAGUAUUAUAUAUUAUAUAUAACAUAUAACACAUAUAACACACACACACACACACACACGUUCUGUAUUUUGUUCACACCAGCCCAUCAAUCCAUAGUUAUAGCAACCUGUUCUUGUUCUAUUUCAAGAAAUCCCUGGGUCAAAUAAUGUGAUUCCAUCACAACUUUCCAAAUGCCACGAUAGUUUCCUCUUUUGUGUUUCACAGUACUUUUUUUUUUUAAUUCCUGCACCUUAACUACAGUACUUAUAAACUGUUUUGUAAACUGUGUGUUUGAAUUCAUUAUUUGACAUAUUGCCUCUACAGGAUGGGGGCUAAGGAAUGUAACAAUGAAGUCCUCAACAAUCUUGGAAGAACAACCCAUAAGUCAAUCAAAUUAGAAAAGAAAGAGACCCAGGGGCAUUACUGGAGGGGAAGAAGAGCAUCAGGAUCAACACUGAAGACAAGAGACAUUCAUUCUCCAAAAACACCAGCACAUCCAAGAGUCCUCCUCUUGGACCACAACGAUGAGUCAUUCCAGCAUGUCAACCAAAAUGUCUUUUAUAGAUACCCUGUAGGUAAAUGGAAUUAGAAGCCAAAGUAAAGAUCAUAACUGAAGGCCGGAACUUCCAGAGAAUCUACUGUUUCCAAGCCUUACUACCCAGAUCCCAUUAAAAUAUACAGACUUAUUUUUGGAAAAAAAAAUCCCACAAGGUCAAUAAUCACUACUCUGCCAUUUUUAAAGUAACCAGCGGUGAUGAGGUUCUGCAGUAAAUGUUAGAUCAAUGUUAUAAAUUCACAUAUAACUAAUGAAAUCAACCUUUCUAAGUAUGAUCUACUGAAAAUGGAAACUUCUCAAGAAUAUCCUGAGUGCUUGAAAAAUAUUAUUACAUGACAAUUAUUUUUAGUUUGGGAGAAACCAAAGAUCCACACAUUUACUGUAAAAAUAAAUCAAAACAGACAAAUAUGCAUCUUCAAUCAUGCAUGACAUUUAAGUGCCAAAACAAUAAUAGUGGUCAUGAAUAUAAAACUAUAGUACUAGUUAAUUUUAAACUCACUCUUUUGACUUAGUGCACUAAACCUUAAGAGCUGGAGGAGACCUUACACACUAAUGGGCCGUAGAGUAUCUGACUGGACUGUUUUUAAGAAAAGGCAUGGCAGGAGUUCACUCAUUUCCCCAUCCAAGCUAACAAAACACCAAGACUCAAAACAUCUCUGCUUUAAUUGUUUUGUAUAUUAUGCAUCAAACUAAUAUUCUCCUACAUAAUUGAAUAUAUGGAGCUACUACCAUUAAUUACAUGCAAAUUUUGAACACUUGAAAGUGGGUGGUCAACUGAGAUAUACACUAAAUGUAAUAACAGAUUUCGAAAACAUACUAUGAAAAUAAAAAGGGAAAAAAAAUCUCACAUGUGACUUCUUAUAGGAGUUAUUUUUAGUGAAAAUAUUUUGAAACAUUUAUGUUUGAUAUACACAGAAUCAAAAUGUUAAACUGCCUAGUUUCUAAACUAGUCAAAUAACAUACAACAAAAUAAAUCCAUAGAGUGACUGUGUGCAAUCUGUGAGAGUUACUUUUCUCACUGUAAUGUCAAAAUUCCCGACAAGAAACAAAUUAAAGAAAGAAGGCUUUAUUCCAGCUCACACUUUACAAGAGUACAUGCCAUCAUGGCAAGGAGGGUAUAACAUCAGAACAAGGGUGCAUUCCAUCAUGGUGAGGAAGGUAAGGCAUUGGGAGCCUAUUAUAGGGAAGAAGGUAUGACAUCAGAACAAGGGUGCAUUAUAUCACAGUGUGGAAGGUAAAGUAUUGGGAGCCUAUCAUAGAGAAGAAAGUAUGACAUCAGAACAAGGGUGCAUUCCAUGAUGAGGAAGGCAUGGCAUCAGGAAUGGGAAGGCAGCUCUAUUUGAUUUUGCUUUCUAAAUAGUGACUGCUUAGAAUAUUUAACACUACACAUGAAUCUCAUUUUUAUCAAGAUUUAUACUCACGAUUUUAAAAAAAUCAACAUAUGCAUAAU